rnacentral:misc_RNA from 1 species
GAUGAAGAACGCAGCGAAAUGCGAUAAGUAAUGUGAAUUGCAGAAUUCAGUGAAUCAUCGAAUCUUUGAACGCACAUUGCGCCCGCCAGUAUUCUGGCGGGCAUGCCUGUCCGGGCGUCAUUUCAACCCUCGGGCCCCCCUCUGCGGGCGGCCCGGCGUUGGGGCUCAGGCGCCGUCUCUGCUCGGCGCCUGUCCCCUAAAUGCAGUGGCGGCCUCGCCGCUGCCUCCUCCGCGUAGUAGCACAAACCUCGCGGCUGGAAGGCGGCGCGGCCACGCCGUAAAACCCCCCAACUUUACCAAGGUUGACCUCGGAUCAGGUAGGAAUACCCGCUGAACUUAAGCAUAUCAAUAAGCGGAGGA